rnacentral:lncRNA from 1 species
GCAUGCUUGAUUGUUUGAAUGAUUAAUAUAAUGAGGUUUUCCUUAUUUUGUCCGUUUGUUUGUUUGUUAGCGAGAUGGUGGCUUACUAGGGUCCUGUUUGGAACUUGAUGCCCAACAUUCUUCAUGUGGAAGACAUGGUAUCUAUAGAGAUUGUUUUAAUGGUCCUUCUGCUCAUAGUGUUUGGACUGUUCCACAUGAUAGAAUCUUGAAGAUCUCAGGCCCAACCACAGCAAAUGAGAGGACAAUUUCAUCAGAUGAAUGAUUUUAUCGCAUUAGACUUGUUUUGUUGCUAUUGACAUAAGCCAUUGUUGCAGGGUUAGUUGGAUGGUAAUUGAAAUGAUCAAGUAGCUUUCUUCAGAU